CGUUUGCUAUUGGCUGUCUCCGGGGACACGUCAUCAAGGAUUGAAACAGCGCGUAAAUCCGAAUGUGUGUGUAUGCCGGGCAAAGAGGCUGAGGCGGGAGAGGCAGAGGCAGAGGCAGCAGCUGCUACGGGAAAGCAGAGCUCUAUGGUGAGCAGCAUUGAAUUUGUACUGACCCAGCCACACACUUUACCAGUUGUCUAUACCAGCUUACUCCUGCCAGGGUGUGUUUAUGGCCAUAGGACAACAUGCAAGCAAUGGACUCACCCGAGGUUUUUAUUUUGGCAGAAUGGUAUGGGUGGUGAAAAUAAAGGAAAGAGAAAUUCAGGAAAAGAAGAGAGCAGCACGUAUUUAUGAACUCCAGACCAGAGGGUAACGAACAUCAGCCCUAACUGACAAGGGCAGGUGCUGAGGCUAUGUGAAUGGGACAGAGAGGAGCAGGCCAGGAGGGACGGCGAGCACCCGGGGCCUGCAGCCAAGCUCCCCAGCAGACCGAAUGAGCCUGGUGCCAACACCAUGGGCCUCUCCCCAUCCCAGAGAAAGACUCUGAAGACAGAAAAGGAGAGUGCCUUGCUCUGCCAGGGAGGCCCAAGAUAAAACCAGGUAUUCCAGGCCAGAGAAUGCCAGGAAAGGUAAAGAAGAUGCCUGCAAAUCCCUGCAGCCUAGAAGAGGAAUUUUAGCAGAACUGACAAAUACUUUCCUCACCAGGAUGAGGUUCCCCACCUUGGAUUUGCCUCCAGAAGCACAAGAGUGCCUCUGCCAGGAAGGAGCUGGACCUGUUGGCACAGACUGCCUCAGCCUCACCAUCCCAGGUACUGGCUUUUUUGUUUAAAAAACACCGAGUGCCCAUAGUGGCUUAUAGGGAUAAAUAGAAAAUGACUACUGCCAACCUAUACCUGCUGUUCAUGAAGGUGUUAGUAAAAAAAACAAAAACAAAAAUCAACAAAAAAAGUGCAUGCUUUUUCUGAAUGGUUGUCAUUGAUCUUUGUUCUAAGGUUUCUUUUUGACUUAUAAGAACAGAAUUAAGGAAGUACAAAGGAGAUAGCACGAUUGAGUAUACUCUAACAUAAGUACCACCAGCAAAUUGAUAGUCAUGUUCAGAAAUGAUCUCUGACUUAA